GAAGUGGGCACUUUCACUGUGACAUUCCGCAUUAAAAGUAACUGAACCUAACAACCAGAGAACAGUUAGAAUGGAGAGUGCCAUUGCCAUUGUUCAAACUCCCACCGAAGAGUUUCAUAGAAGAAGCGGUUUAAAGGACAUCAGAAACCUGAAACACA